CUGACCCGGAAGUGUAUUCGCAACCGCUCCCCGCCGCGUGACCGUGCGCCCAGAGCAAAGAUUCUAGAGGAGCGGUCCGGAGUGUGACACGUGACCUGGGGUGACCGUUGUGGGAUGAAAUCAGAACAUCCAGGGGAAAUCCAUGUAGUUAAGAGGAAGAACCUGCAAACUCCACACAGACAGCACCGGAAGAUCAAACUGAGACCGGAAGAGUGAAGCAGUAGUUCUACUAGUCACAGAAAAUCUGGAUGAAAUUCUUGUUUCAUUGCACUUAGCAUUCAGCCAGAGAUUUUACUUUACACUGAAUGGGUUUUUUUUCAAUUGUAUUACUGAAUUGUACUGGUAGGUUGUUCAGAAUGACUUUAAAGACAUUUUAUUUUACUA